rnacentral:rRNA from 1 species
CCUACGGGAGGCAGCAGUGGGGAAUUUUGGACAAUGGGCGCAAGCCUGAUCCAGCAAUGCCGCGUGCAGGAUGAAGGCCUUCGGGUUGUAAACUGCUUUUGUACGGAACGAAACGGUGAGCUCUAAUACAGUUUGCUAAUGACGGUACCGUAAGAAUAAGCACCGGCUAACUACGUGCCAGCAGCCGCGGUAAUACGUAGGGUGCGAGCGUUAAUCGGAAUUACUGGGCGUAAAGCGUGCGCAGGCGGUGAUGUAAGACAGAUGUGAAAUGCCCGGGCUCAACCUGGGACCUGCAUUUGUGACUGCAUCGCUAGAGUACGGUAGAGGGGGAUGGAAUUCCGCGUGUAGCAGUGAAAUGCGUAGAUAUGCGGAGGAACACCGAUGGCGAAGGCAAUCCCCUGGACCUGUACUGACGCUCAUGCACGAAAGCGUGGGGAGCAAACAGGAUUAGAUACCCUGGUAGUCCACGCCCUAAACGAUGUCAACUGGUUGUUGGGUCUUCACUGACUCAGUAACGAAGCUAACGCGUGAAGUUGACCGCCUGGGGNGACGCGCGAGUAGAAGUAAAGAAGUAGAGNGNGAGACGNGCGACGGACGACGACGAGGGGAGGUAGG